rnacentral:rRNA from 1 species
CACGCCCUAAACGAUGUCUACUAGUUGUCGGGACUUAAUUGUCUUGGUAACGCAGCUAACGCGUGAAGUAGACCGCCUGGGGAGUACGGUCGCAAGAUUAAAACUCAAAGGAAUUGACGGGGACCCGCACAAGCGGUGGAUGAUGUGGAUUAAUUCGAUGCAACGCGAAAAACCUUACCUACCCUUGACAUGGUUGGAAUCCCGAAGAGAUUUGGGAGUGCUCGCAAGAGAACCAAUACACAGGUGC